AGGAAAGUGUGUUUGAAACUAAAAUCGCUAGUAACAACCAGCAUCAAACGUAACAUUGCUUGUCAAAUGGAUAUCAUUUCUCGUUAUGGUUUGUAGUUAUGCUGGCUUUGCUUCUGCUGUCUUUCUACAACAUCCGAAGAUAUAAAGACGACGCUGUAUCAACAAAAAACGGAUUGCAACUUGCAAAACAUGCAGGAAGAAAAUUACAGACGGAGGCGCAACAAUUUCCAACUUUGUUCGACAUUUGAAGCUGC
rnacentral:lncRNA from 1 species